GAGGCUCGACCGUAGAGUCCCAAACUCCCUCGACCUCGGGAAGUAUCGCAGGACGAUGAAACAUCGGCUUGACGCAAGAAUCCCUCGACUAAGGUCGGGAUGCCCGAGGGUCGACCGUAGAGAACCAGACUCCCUCGACCUCGGGAAGGCCCGUGAGGGUGGAAAGGGUGGCUCCACCCGGGGCGCCACAAAGUGGACCCCCGGGAGCGGUCGACGAUCCCCGAUCCCCGAAGCGAGCGAUCCCUCGACUAAGGUCGGGAUGCCCCGAGGGUCGACCGUAGAGAACCAGACUCCCUCGACCUCGGGAAGCGUCGCCGGUCGGUAGAGCGUGCCCAGACCAGCCGACCUGACGAACGAUCCCUCGACUAAGGUCGGGAUGCCCCGAGGGUCGACCGUAGAGAACCAGACUCCCUCGACCUCGGGAGGUAUCACAGGUCAGCAAAGCGCCACGAACCCGCCGACCUGACGUGAGAUCCCUCGACCAAGGUUGAGGCGCUCCGAGGUCCGACCAUAGGGUCUUAAGCCCCUCGAUCUCAAAAGGGCUACAAAUCAACAGAGCCUCCCAGAUCCUCUCAACUCCGGCAGGAGUCGCCGGGUCCAUGGGAAGCCCGAGCCCCUUUUACAAGUCAAAA
rnacentral:lncRNA from 1 species